AGGUCCUGAGUUCAAGAGAAACAGGUGUCUAAACAGAAGUAAAAUCCUGUGGAAGUUUAGGAUAAUUGAAUUACUCGCAAAUUGGAGUAUCCUGGAAAACUUCCUGGAGGAAGUGGCCUGUGCUUUGUAUCAGGAAAAAUAGAUGGAAAAGUGGUGAUGACAGAAAAUUGUCUGUUGCUUUUGGAAAAGAAAGAAAAAAAAAAGUGACGUUUCCCUGUGUUUGACAUCCUCUUCCUUAAAGGUAUCAGAAUGGUGCGUGGGUUUGGUUUGAAGCUAAAGAAAGGAGAAAGAGCCAGAGAAGAAGAAAAAAAGAUUCCCUGCAGCCUGCCAGGGACGUGGUAACUGCCCUGCCAAGAGUGAUCCUGGGAGGGCUAUUGAAAGAGCUCUGAGGCCUCCUUGGCAUAUGGAAGUUCCCAGGCUAGGGGUGGAAUCCGAGCCACAUCCGUGACCUACACCGCAGCUCACGACAACGCUGGAUCAUCAACCCACUGAGUGAGGCCAGAGAUCGAACCCGAGUUUUCCUGCACACCAGUUAGGUUUGUUACCACUGAGCCGCAACAGGAACUCCCAGGAGCUUUAUGAGUGAAUGAAUAAAUGCAUCAUUCCACCCCCACCUCACCGCCGCCACCCCGGGGGAGAGAGUCUACAGCUUUUAGCAGAAUCUCAAAGUUUUUUGUAACGCAGGAAGGUUGAGGAAGCUGAUCCAGGCAAUCUCGAUGUAUAAGUGGGUACUCUAAGGCCCAGAGAGGGCCAGGGACUGGUUCA
rnacentral:lncRNA from 1 species